GGACUUGACGGUGAUCUGGCCGUGACAUUUGUCACCGCAUUGAUUGCCACGGUUGAUUUGGCUGAUCUGGCUGGCUAGGAGGGUGUCCCUCCAUCCCUCUCCACUCCAUGUAUGUCCCUCCCCUAGCUGCAUGCUUGGUGGGAGAAGAUGAGUUUCCCCUGAUAGCGAAGGACCAAGCUUUGGUCAAG
rnacentral:snRNA from 1 species